GGGUGGCAAAACGGGAGCCCUCGAGCUGGGCCCUGAGAAACGGGUCUGGGUGUUUUGAGGUUCACCUGCCUGGAACCCUUCCU
rnacentral:rRNA from 11 species